GGGUGCAAGCGUUACUCGGAAUCACUGGGCGUAAAGCGCGCGCAGGCGGGCUGAUAAGCUGGAUGUGAAAUCCUACGGCUCAACCGUAGAACUGCAUCCAGAACUGUCAGUCUCGAGUCUGGGAGGGGAAGAUGGAAUUAGUAGUGUAGGGGUAAAAUCCGUAGAGAUUACUAGGAAUACCAAAAGCGAAGGCGAUCUUCUGGAACAGUACUGACGCUGAGGCGCGAAAGCGUGGGGAGCAAACAGGAUUAGAUACCCUGGUAGUCCACGCCCUAAACGAUGAAUGUUAGUCGUUGGAGAGCUUGUCUCUUCAGUGAUGCAGCUAACGCAUUAAACAUUCCGCCUGGGGAGUACGGUCGCAAGAUUAAAACUCAAAGGAAUAGACGGGGACCCGCACAAGUGGUGGAGCAUGUGGUUUAAUUCGAAGAUACGCGAAGAACCUUACCUGGCCUUGACAUUGAUGGAAUCCUGUAGAGAUACGGGAGUGCCCUUCGGGGAGCCUGAAAACAGGUGCUGCACGGCUGUCGUCAGCUCGUGUCGUGAGAUGUUGGGUUAAGUCCCGCAACGAGCGCAA
rnacentral:rRNA from 1 species